AAGUCGUAACAAGGUCUCCGUUGGUGAACCAGCGGAGGGAUCAUUACUGAGUUCUACAAAAACUCCCAACCCUUUGUGAACCUUACCGUCGUUGCCUCGGCGCUGAGCGGCGGCUACCCGGGAGAAGCUACCCGGGAGCCACCUACCCUGUAGGUGGCUACCCUGGAGCUACCCUGUAGUUGCACUUUACGUUCCGCCGGCGGACCACACAAACUCUUCUGUAUCAUGGUGUAUCUCUGAAUACGUAACAAAAUGAGUUAAA
rnacentral:misc_RNA from 1 species